rnacentral:rRNA from 1 species
UAGGGAAUCUUCCACAAUGGACGCAAGUCUGAUGGAGCAACGCCGCGUGAGUGAAGAAGGUUUUCGGAUCGUAAAGCUCUGUUGUUGGUGAAGAAGGAUAGAGGUAGUAACUGGCCUUUAUUUGACGGUAAUCAACCAGAAAGUCACGGCUAACUACGUGCCAGCAGCCGCGGUAAUACGUAGGUGGCAAGCGUUGUCCGGAUUUAUUGGGCGUAAAGCGAGCGCAGGCGGAAGAAUAAGUCUGAUGUGAAAGCCCUCGGCUUAACCGGGGAACUGCAUCGGAAACUGUUUUUCUUGAGUGCAGAAGAGGAGAGUGGAAUUCCAUGUGUAGCGGUGGAAUGCGUAGAUAUAUGGAAGAACACCAGUGGCGAAGGCGAGUCUCUGGUCUGCAACUGACGCUGAGGCUCGAAAGCAUGGGUAGCGAACAGG